rnacentral:rRNA from 1 species
UACGUAGGUGACAAGCGUUGUCCGGAUUUACUGGGCGUAAAGAGCGCGCAGGCGGUCGUUCAAGUCGAGUGUGAAAGCCCCCGGCUCAACCGAGGAAGUGCGUUCGAAACUGCAGAGCUUGAGUGCCGGAGAGGGUGGCGGAAUUCCCCAAGUAGAGGUGAAAUUCGUAGAUAUGGGGAGGAACACCGGUGGCGAAGGCGGCCACCUGGACGGUCACUGACGCUGAGACGCGAAAGCGUGGGUAGCAAACAGG